AUUGAACGCUGGCGGCAUGCUUUACACAUGCAAGUCGAACGGCAGCGCGGGCUUCGGCCUGGCGGCGAGUGGCGAACGGGUGAGUAAUGCAUCGGAACGUGCCCAGUAGUGGGGGAUAGCCCGGCGAAAGCCGGAUUAAUACCGCAUACGACCUGAGGGUGAAAGCGGGGGACCGAAAGGCCUCGCGCUAUUGGAGCGGCCGAUGUCGGAUUAGCUAGUUGGUGGGGUAAAGGCUUACCAAGGCGACGAUCCGUAGCUGGUCUGAGAGGACGACCAGCCACACUGGGACUGAGGCACGGCCCAGACUCCUACGGGAGGCAGCAGUGGGGAAUUUUGGACAAAGGGGGCAACCCUGAUCCAGCCAUGCCGCGUGCGGGAAGAAGGCCUUCGGGUUGUAAACCGCUUUUGUUCGGGAAGAAAUCCUCUGGGCUAAUACCCCGGGGGGAUGACGGUACCGGAAGAAUAAGCACCGGCUAACUACGUG
rnacentral:rRNA from 1 species